rnacentral:SRP_RNA from 1 species
GCUGGGCACGAUGAAGCAUGCCUGUAGUCCCAGCUACUCUGGAGGCUGAGGCUGGAGGAUUGCUUGAGCCCAGGAAUUCUGGGCUGUAGUGCGCUAUGCCGCUCGGGUGUCUGCACUAAGUUCGGCAUCAAUAUGGUGACUUCUUGGAAGUGGGGACCACCAGGUUGUCUAAGGAAGGGGUGAACUGACCCAGGUCGGAAUCGGAGCCAUGCUGAUCAGUAGUGGGAUAGGACCUGUGAAUAGCCACUGCACUCCAGCCUGGGCAACAUAGCAAGACCCUGUCUCU